CUUGGCAGGGCAUCAUACAUGACAAACAAAAUAAUGGGUCUUAGUAAAUGUUGAUUUUGUAAAAUUCUUCGUUUAAAUUUCUAGGUUUUUGAUGAAUUCUCAUUUAGAGUUGGUGACCACCAAUCGACUCACCAUCAACUUUAGAUCAAGAUUUGAGCAUGCCUUAAAAGUCAAGCUUGCAUUAAGAUUUGGCUCUUCGAUCUGAAGGACCAUAGGAUUGAAGGCUGAAUUAUUGUAAGUCUGUUCUUCUGUCACAGGGUUUACCCAUGUUCUUCUCUCCAAUCAUUUCUUGACACUAUAAUAGUAAUCUCAAUUAUUGUGGGAUUAAAAGAUUAAGAUCUGCUUAGAUUCUAUGUAUAUACAUUUUAUAAAGUGAAUUAAGUUUUGAAGUUUAUGUAUUCACGACUAAUACAUUCAAUCC